rnacentral:rRNA from 1 species
CCUACGGGAGGCAGCAGUGAGGAAUAUUGGUCAAUGGACGAGAGUCUGAACCAGCCAAGCAGCGUGAAGGAUGACUGCCCUAUGGGUUGUAAACUUCUUUUAUAUGGGAAUAAAAUGUUCCACGUGUGCGUUUUUGUAUGUACCAUAUGAAUAAGGAUCGGCUAACUCCGUGCCAGCAGAGGCGGUAAUAAGGAGGAUCCGAGCGUUAUCCGGAUUUGUUGGGUUUAAAGGGAGCGUAGGUGGAUUGUUAAGUCAGUUGUGAAAGUUUGGGGCUCAACCGUACAAUUGCAGUUGAUACUGGCAGACUGGAGUGCGGUAGAGGUGGGCGGAAUUCGUGGUGUAGCGGUGAAAUGCGUAGAUAUCACGAAGAACACCGAUGGCGAAGGCAGCUCACUGGACUGCAACUGACACUGAGGCUCGAAAGUGUGGGUAUCAAACAGGAUUAGAUACCCGUGUAGUC